UUUAGCUUUGGUCUCUGAUCAUUUAUACCAUUUUGCCAAAAUACUUGUUUUCUGGUCUCUCCUGAACUUUCUAUUGUAUCUAUUGAAGCCUUUCUGUUUUUGAUCACAUCCAGAGCAGUGUGGUUUUUAAAAAGAGGCAUUAAGUCAUUUAAUUGCUCCAUGGAUGAGUUUCUCCAAUGCUGAUAGGGAAUGAAUGAAUCAGAUUUAAUAUUGGGACCUGCAGGAAGCCCCUCAGGGCAUUUCCCUUCUGGCAAAGGGUUACUUUGCCUGUCCCUUGUUAAUCUGCAUUCAUUAGUCCAGUGUUGACCUUUGCCAUACCUUCUGCAUACUCCAGAAGGUUGAGGCCAAAAUAUUGUUUCUAGGAACAUCUUGCCUACAAUCCCUUUUCAAGUAACCUUGUUUACCACAAUUAAAACAUCUGACAUUUUGAUUUUUCUUGUAUUUUUUAGAAAUCACUUUUCCUGUCCAAGUGUCAUUGUAUGUGUGAGAUCCAAUAUCAACUGUUAUUUCAGAUCCAUGCAGUCAGGAUGAAUCUCUCCCAUCCAUGUCCUGCAGCUGCUUGGUCCCAAGUAAACACACAGAGGCUUAUAUUACUUACAAACUGUAUGGUCUAUGGGUCAGGCUUCUUGCUAGCUAGGUCCUAUAACUUAACUCAACCCAUCUGUAUUAAUCUAUAUAUGUUGCCACAUGAUCAUGGCAUUACUGGUCCACUGGCAUGUGGCUCCUUUGGCAGUGGGCUGGUGUUUCCCCCAACUCCACCCUUCUUUGUCUUCAGUUUGAAUGUACCACCUAAUCUUAUCCUGCCCUGCCAUAGGCCAAUACAGCUUUAUUUACAACCAAUCAGAGCAACACAUAUUUACAGCAUACAGAAAGAUAUCCUAUGGCAAAUAUUUGUCUAACUUUGUAUAAUUUUAGUAAAUGACUCAGUCCUCUUUCCUGAUUCUUCAACUCUGUCCCAAGCAGUUAAAGCUACUAUAUGGCAUAGAGCAUAUGAUCAUAAAAUGUACACUGUCUCUGCAAAUCACCAUACUGGCCUUCACCAAGAAGCUGGUCUUGGGAAAUUUCAAUAUUUCUAGCCCUGUUUGGUUGUUCUAUGACCCUAGCUUUCUCCCUCCACCAUGUUUUCCAUUGUAACUGAGGACCAGCUUCCAAUACUGUUAUAGCUAAAGCUUUCCAGUCUUUUGGAAUAAUCCUGUUCUGAGUUACCCAUGAAUUUAAUAUCUGCUUCACAAAGGGUGAAUGCAUACAAUAUGAAACAACUGCUUCCUUAGAUUUCUUCAAACCUAACAUUUCCAGGAUCCAAAUUAACUUCUGUAUAACCUUGGGCAGUGGGAGAGUGUGUGUACCUAUCAUCUGGUAGUCGUUCUUGUAUGGUAACUGGAUAAAUUAAGGUUGAUUUUCUAAUAACCUUAGGCUGCUCUUCUUCAGUUUCAUAAUGCAAUGGUGUGGUGUGGUAGGUUCUUAAUUCCUCUGUCUGUGUCUGAGUAUUUUUCUUAUUUUCAUUAGUAGGUCUUUUUAAAGCUUGUAUCUUGUCAAUAGUAAGUCCUUCUAAGACAUAUCAUAUCAGUCAAAUUUUUAUUAUUUUCAUUAGUAAGUAUUAUAUCUUAUUAAUCAAAUUUUUAUUUUUGGCACAGUUAUCAUACCACUUUUUAAGAAUAAAAUAUGAAUUACCAAACUGAUAGUAAUUACAAUCAGCAUUAUGUCAAUCCCAGCUAAGUGGUUUAUCCCAUCUUUUAUUUUUUCCAUUUUCAAGCCAUCUAUAGUAGCACAGAGUCCUAACUUACUGCAUUGUUAAAGUUCUGAUUCUUAACAUGGGACAAAUUUUUUUUCUUAAUUUUAUUUAUCUCUCUCCUUAAGAACUUCCCAAGCAUCUCACCAAAUCUGCUGACUUCUCAGUUUGUCUGUAGCAACAGUGCCAUCAGCCGAGGGCUCGAGCCCCUCCUGAGAUUUCCAAGCCUGAGCUGGCUUUCUGGAGUCUUGCAAGUGGAUCUUGGAGAGGCCCAGACAGUGACUGUGGAGGUGCUGGCUGGUGUGACUUCUCCAUCUGUGUGGUUGUACCACUCGUUGGAGCACCAAAUGAUGUUUUUCAAUCGGCUUAGCAGCUGCACAUGAAUCUACUGAUAUUUUAAUUAUUAUUGGCCACCCCAUGGUACCUCAAUCAGCGCCCCACCAGCCACUCAGGCCUGACAGGGAUUCCAAGUCCAGUGCCCUGACUCUGCCACCAUGAUAUGUAAGUUUAAAUUAAGUCUCUGUUGUUCUAUUUAUCAAUAAGACUCAGAAGUCUUAUUGAUAAAGGUGAAAACCUGCCAGCUCAGAGAGCUCGAGUACCAACUAGCUGACCUUGCUUUUUAGGGGGCAAUACCUCAAGGGCGACUCUUCCCUCAUCCCAGAACCAAGAGAGAUCAAACACUAGUCCCUGCCCUUUCCUUCCUGUGUGUCGUCUCUUUCCAAAUUGCUGGCUUCUCUAUGGCCAAUUCCUGUCAGCUAGUCACUGGCUCCACCCCCUGAUUCAAGGUAUAACUUUAUUGGGCAGUCUCGGGAUGUCAGAGUACAAUCAGAAUAUCCCACAACACACACAAGUCCUCAUCCUCACCAAUCAACACUUUCUGAAGAGCCAGGAGGCUUGUGUUCUAGCCCCAAGUGCACCAUUUUCUUGCUGUGUGACACUCAGCAAAUCACGUAACUUCUCUGGGCUUCGGGUUCUUAUUCCUGAAGCAUUGAGAAGAUGGGCUGAAAUCACCAUGGACCUAAAAUCUUCAGAGGCUGAAAAAUAUCCAAGUUAGAAUGGCCUUGUCCCCAGCCCAAAGAGAACCAGUAGGGCCUCCUCACGCCUUGGCUGUGACCUGACACUGCCUGAUAGCUCCAGGGACUGGCUUUGCUUAUUCUUCCCAUGUGUCCUCUGGGAGGAGAGGAGCCCCAUAGCCUUAGCAAGACAGGACCUGGGGACCCACUAGCAACACUGUUUGUCUAGGGUCGUAUCUAAGAGCUGGGACUUUUGUUUCCAGUGUCUCCAACCAGAGUCUGUCUAGCAGAGUGGAAGAGAAGCUGUGUCUGUUGGCCUGACACACCUUUUAUUUAAUGUUUUCUUCAGCCUGUCUGACCUUGUGAUCCUACCCAGGGCUCCAGGAGUACAGUGCUGAGACCUGGCGGGUGGAAGACGUAUUUGUGUGUGCUGGACACAGCCUGUGAGUCCAUCUGGGUCUGUCUGGGUCUCCCAACCACACACCAGUCAAGGAUGAGUCCUACCCUCAGCCAAGGAUUGGCUUGUGCCAUGGUGUGGACUGAUGGACGGCCUGACAGGAUCUAGAGUCACAUCGGAAACAAAUCUUGCUUGUCCUGUAGCCCUUUGAAUGGGUCAAGCUAAAGAUGUGUCUCACUUGCAAGGAGUCGCCAUAAAGAGGGUUGGUACGUUGUUUCCAUCUAACAGAUAAUGCCUGGAGCUGGAGCAGCAACUGUGAACCAUGAGGUAACAUUGGGAAUGACAACAGGACAGUAAGACAGAAGGACUCUGAAUGGGUCACGGUGAAGUGUGGGAAGGAGUGAGUCUCCACAGUUCUUAUAUGGCAUGACACUUCCUGAAACCAUCUCUUCAAGGGUGUUUUGCAGGAAACCCACGAUAGCGUCUCUGGCAUGUGUGAAUGGACAGCAGCAUCGCCGAGCUCAGUUUGGGAUGUUCUUAUCACAAGUCUGGGGACACCACAGCAGUAGACCUGAACCAUGCAAGAAAGCACGCAGCAGACUGGAGAGGUGGGAGGUGCAAAAGAGUCUACCAAGAACCAGCAAGCAGAAAUCAAGUGCCACCCAGAUAAGGGAUCGGGCUGCCGGGAAGGCAGAUAAGCUUUUUCACAGUAGCUCGCUGAUACCCCAUCUCUUUUUUGAGGACUAAGUUUUGAAAUGUGAGUUGUUUCUCCUUGGGACUGGUUAUGGGGAGGAUGUGACAACUCACUCAGUCUGCUCAUUGACAUGUGGAACCCUGCGGCAUGACCACAGCACGCUAAGGUCGCGGCUGGGGCUUGUUCUGGUUAGUGUUUAGAUGAGAUAACUGUGCUGCUCAGAGGCAACACCAGCCUCCGUCUGCACGCAGCCUGUCCCGAGACAGUGGCAGCCUUGUUCUGACGCUGUAAUCACUUAGCACAGCGGUCCCCGAGAACGGCAUCCGCAGCCAUGGCAGCUACAGAGCAGCUAGCUGGUGGAUGGCAUACACAGUGGGGAUGCCCUGGACUGAUGCAGCUGCAGACCAGGUAUCCGUUUGGUACCUCGACUCCAGCACAGACUAAGCAGUAUCCACCUGGCCCUCUGCACUGGCCCCACGGAGAUUGAGUUCUAGAGAACCUAUACAAAAUCGGAGCAUGUGCCCUGCGCUGUGCUGUGAAGUGGUCAAGUCCUUUGCUGUGUCUUCUGUCAGUAACCAAGGCAGGCUCAGGCGUCAGUUUGCAAGCAGGGACAAAGUGUGUUAGACUCUACCCCAUGAGGUAGAGUCCUUGUCGCUAGUCCUAGUGAGCCCCCUCUGUAACCUGGUGACAUAAAAUUGAUCGCAACAAACAUAUCUAGUCUCAGCUUUGCAGUUUAAUGAGU